AAGUCGGAACAAGGUUUCCGUAGGUGAACCUGCGGAAGGAUCAUUAACACGUAUCCAACGUUAAAACCGUGAACCUUUAUUGUGGCACGCCUAUCCGUUAGAAAGUGGCAAUCCCUGGUAAAUCAUCGCCGAACAGUUUUGAUUCAGGGACUUCUGCGUGGGUAGUACAACUGCGCGAGCAAGUGGCCUGGCAUCCCUCUUGAAAGUGUCACUCUGUCGAUGGCUCAAUCACGAUCGCUAGAGACCAACACGGCCGGCGACCGGGUCAAUGGGCCCUCGGCCCCCUAAUCACCUUUGCAUGAAAACGGGCCUGCGCUUAAUUGUGCGGCCACCAAACUCGAACAACUGUUAACAAUGAUAUCUUGGUUCUC
rnacentral:misc_RNA from 1 species